AUUUUACUUCCUCCGUUCCGAAUUACUUGUUGCAUGUAUGGAUGUAUCUAGAUGUAUUUUAAUUCUAGAUACAUCCAUUUCUGUGAAGAAUAAUUUGGAACGGAGGAAGUAGAAG
rfam:Triticum urartu cultivar G1812 contig10686, whole genome shotgun sequence.